UGGUUCUUCGUUACUACGUCUCUCUGUGAUUUGUUGUGUGGUGCCAGUGAUGACCCGAUGCGCGUCUCUCUGAUUUCGUUUCUAAUCCGAUCAUCUCCGUUCAUUCUUCUUCUUCUUCUUCUUCUUCUUCUAGGGUUUCUGGAGGAUACUACGAUUGAUCGCUGAUGGGCUUUGAAUGAUCGUUGUCACCCUAAUUCAUGUUAUUCUUCUAGGGUUUUGGAUGAUGCGAUCAGUUAUGGCUUUUCUCUGUGCCAACAUCUUCAGGGGUGUUUUGGAAUCAAAUCUUUUAUCCGAUCAUCAUCGCUCUGUUUACUUAAUUCUCCUACGGACGAAUUGAAUGAAUAGGAUCAGUGUCUCUUGAUGCUUGGUGAUGCUAAAGAUGUAAUUGUCUAUUAUGGUUUUCGAUGAUGCUUUUAACAAUCAGUGAUGGCUUUGACUGAUCAUCCUCUAGCGUUCUCACGGGUGAAAAUAUGGCAUUGGAGACAACGCAGCAGAUCACUACUCUCUCUCGGUUCCUAGUUUGCAGAAUGCUAACUGUUACUAAGAUCCCAAAUCAUGAGAGGCUAUAAAGAUUUCUCUUAAUGAGCUUCAGAAGCUUCUUAUCGACAACAGUUUUCCUGAUGAUAUGUCUCACUCUGAUUUUGGAAACCAAUUAUUUGUUUAAUUAGGUGGUGCUGCAUACUUCAGAUCUUCUAUCUAGGGUUUUGGAUGAUGCGAUCAGUUAUGGCUUUUCUCUGUGCCAACAUCUUCAGGGGUAUUUCAGAAGCGAAUUAUGAUAAAGAUCAUCCCGCGCGUAUUAGUUCUUCUCCUUGAUAUGUCUUUAGGCCACAGGUGUUUUGGAAUCAAAUCUUUUAUCCGAUCAUCAUCGCUCUGUUUAGUGUUUACUUACUUCUCCUACGGUUUGAUC